CCAUUUGGAGCUAGCCGUCGAAGGUGGGACAAAUGAUUGGGGUGAAGUCGUAACAAGGUAGCCGUAUCGGAAGGUGCGGCUGGAUCACCUCCUUU
rnacentral:rRNA from 1 species